GUCCUAUACAGAUGUAUUCAACGCUAGUCAGUUGGGCAUCUCCCUUUAGGAUGAAGUUUAUUAGAAGCUCUGGCAACAAUUUUCAUUGUGUGGCUCUACGGUCGAAAUGAGAUGAGUCAGAGUGGAAUAGGUUAACUGUAAGACCUUGAGUUGAAAAACUCUAAAAUUGAGCUAGAGAUGUGGAUUCCUAAUUUUCUCAUUUUCUAGUUACGGUGUG
rnacentral:ncRNA from 1 species